GGGUCCUGUAGCUCAGUUGGUUAGAGCGCUGCACCGGAAUUGCUGCAGGUUCGAUUCAUGCAGGUUCGAUUCCUGCCACUUG